rnacentral:rRNA from 1 species
UUAACUGAGAGUUUGAUCCUGGCUCAGGAUGAACGCUGGCGGCGUGGCUAAGGCAUGCAAGUCGAGCGGAUUUUGUUUUGUAGCAAUACAAAACACGAUCAGCGGCAGACGGGUGCGUAACACAUUGGUAAUCUUCCCUCGAGUCGUGCAUAGCUUUCCGAAAGGAAAGGUAAUUCACGAUGGACAUGUGGGGUCAUAUGACAUUCACAUGUAAAGCAGCAAUGCGCUCGAGGAGGAGCCUAUGGCCUAUCAGCUAGUUGGUGAGGUAAAAGCUCACCAAGGCUAUGACGGGUAGGGGGCGUGAGAGCGUGGCCCCCCUCACUGGGACUGAGACACUGCCCAGACACCUACGGGUGGCUGCAGUCGCGAAUAUUCGGCAAUGGGCGAAAGCCUGACCGAGCGACGCCGCGUGCGGGAUGAAGGCCUUCGGGUCGUAAACCGCUUUUACUAGGGACGAAUUUUGACGGUACCUAGCGAAUAAGAGGUUGCUAACUCUGUGCCAGCAGCAGCGGUAAUACAGAGACCUCAAGCGUUAUCCGGAUUUAUUGGGUGUAAAGGGUCCGCAGGCGGCAUGUCAAGUUACUCGUUAAAUCGUUGGGCUUAACCCAACGGCUGCGAGUAAGACUGGCAAGCUAGAGACUGGGAGAGGCACGUGGAAUUUGUGGUGUAGUCGUAAUAAGCGUUGAUAUCACAAGGAACACCAAAGGCGAAGGCAGCGUGCUGGAACAGUUCUGACGCUCAGGGACGAAAGCGUGGGGAGUGAAAGGGAUUAGAUACCCCUGUAAUCCACGCCCUAAACGAUGAUUACUAGAUAUUGGAAGUAUCGACCCUUCCAGUGUCGUCUAAAAAAGCUAACGCGUUAAGUAAUCCACCUGAGGAGUACGGUCGCAAGACUAAAACUCAAAGGAAUAGACGGGGACCCGCACAAGCGGUGGAGCAUGUGGUUUAAUUCGAUGGUAAGCGAGGAACCUUACCCAGGCUUGAACUUCAACUGCAAAUCCUAUGAAAGUAGGACUUCUUCGAGAGUGUUGGAGAGGUGCUGCAUGGUUGCCGUCAGCUCGUGUUGUGAAAUGUACCCUUAAGUGGAGUAACGAGCGCAACCCCUGUGUUAUGUUAAAUGUACAUAACAGACUGCCCGCGUAAGCGGGAGGAAGGCGGGGAUGACGUCAAAUCAGCAUGGCCUUUACGUCUGGGGCCACACACGUGCUACAAUGGGGUAAAACAAUGGGUCGCCAAACCGCAAGGUGGAGCUAAUCCCAGCAAAAUACCCCUCAGUUCAGAUUGCGGGCUGCAAUUCGCCCGCAUGAAGCCGGAAUCGCUAGUAAACGCAAAUCAGCCUCGUUGCGUUGAAUACGUUCUCGGGUCUUGUACUCACCGCCCGUCAAGUCAAGGGAGUUGGUAAUACCCAAAGGCCCCGCAAGGGGACUAAGGUAGGACCAGCAACAAGGACUAAGUCGUAACAAGGCAUCCGUAGCGGAAGCUGUGGAUGGAUCACCUCCUUUC